rnacentral:rRNA from 1 species
AGUUGCGCCCUGAGGCUACCUGGCUGAUGGCACACCUUCCUUGGCRUCAUGCC